rnacentral:rRNA from 1 species
GAGUUUGAUCCUGGCUCAGAACGAACGCUGGCGGCAGGCUUAACACAUGCAAGUCGAACGGGCGUAGCAAUACGUCAGUGGCGGACGGGUGAGUAACGCGUGGGAACGUGCCCUGAGGUUGGGAAUAACUGCGGGAAACUGCAGCUAAUACCUGAUGAGCCCGAGCGAUCGGGGAAAGAUUUAUCGCCUUGGGAGCGGCCCGCGUCGGAUUAGCUGGUUGGUGGGGUAACGGCCUACCAAGGCUUCGAUCCGUAGCUGGUCUGAGAGGACGAUCAGCCACACUGGGACUGAGACACGGCCCAGACUCCUACGGGAGGCAGCAGUGGGGAAUCUUGCGCAAUGGGGGCAACCCUGACGCAGCCAUGCCGCGUGAACGAUGAAGGCCUUAGGGUUGUAAAGUUCUUUUGCCCGUGACGAUGAUGACGGUAACGGGAGAAUAAGCUCCGGCUAACUUCGUGCCAGCCGCCGCGGUAAC